UUGGUUACAAUAUGAACUAUUGCUGACACA
rnacentral:piRNA from 1 species